UACGUAGGGUGCAAGCGUUGUCCGGAAUUAUUGGGCGUAAAGAGCUCGUAGGCGGUCUGUCGCGUCGGCUGUGAAAACCCAGGGCUCAACCCUGGGCCUGCAGUCGAUACGGGCAGACUAGAGUUCGGUAGGGGAGACUGGAAUUCCUGGUGUAGCGGUGAAAUGCGCAGAUAUCAGGAGGAACACCGGUGGCGAAGGCGGGUCUCUGGGCCGAUACUGACGCUGAGGAGCGAAAGCGUGGGGAGCGAACAGG
rnacentral:rRNA from 1 species